UGCAGCUCGACAUCCGUUAGCGACUGAGCCAGACUUCGGUUUCUUUCUACCUCCGAGAGCAAAUCUCCGGAUGAAAGAUCUAAGAUGCGUGAAUGAAGUUUCUAGGAAAAACCAAGCAGAAACAUUGAACAGUGAUAAUUUAAUUGUCAAAGUCCAGACUCAGACAGGCAUUUAGAAAUAUUUUUCUGAGAUGGGAACCACAGGUUUCGUCAAGGUGAAAAACAUUUACAAACCACAAUGAUCUUGGGACUCCUCAAGCCCUUGGUUCCAUGCUGAGUGUGGGUUUGCAGCCUCUGUGUUGGCUCUGAAUUUCCCUGUAUGUGAGCGAGGAAGCAUAAAUUUCAGUCACCCGAAGUCCUGCCAGUGAGCUCUAGGACCUGGAAUGCUGCUAAUGUGGAUCUAAUCACAAGCUUGGGCAGAACACUUUACCCACUCACUUCUCUACGUGUCUACAAGCAAGGCAUCACCUUCCCUGAGAUCCAGCCUCAUGAUACUACCUCUCAGGAG